AAUCUAUAAUGAUGACACCUUCUCAAAAGAUCCUUAAAUAUCUCACAUGCAUCAUAUAGUGUCCCAAGCUCAAAUUGAGCAAAAGAAGAGAUACCAUUCCUCAAUUU